rnacentral:snoRNA from 1 species
GCAGAGUCCCAUGCCAGAGCAAACUGUGGCUCCAAAACAUUGCCUGGCCUCUGUGACCACAAGCACUGACACUGAAGUGGGCUGUACAGUG